UACAGAGAGUGCAAACGUUGUUCGGAAUUACUGGGCUUAAAGCGCACGUAGGCGGUGUCGUAAGUGUCAGGUGAAAUCCCACGGCUCACCCGUGGAACUGCCUGGCAUACUGCGAUACUCGAGUGUGGUAGGGGAGAGCGGAACUCCUGGUGGAGCGGUGAAAUGCGCAGAUAUCAGGAGGAACACCGGUGGCGAAGGCGGGACUCUGGGCCGAUAUUGACGCUGAGGAGCGAAAGCGUGGGGAGCGAACAGG
rnacentral:rRNA from 1 species